AACAAUAAGCUCGCCACAGACAAAGUAACGAUUGUUCAUUUAGGAUCUGGUUUCUAAAUUGUUUGCAGUCUAGGAAAAAUUAUCACGUUCUUACCAGGACAAAAUUUUGAUGGCAAAGAUUACGUUUUGCUACCUGGAUAUCUAUUUAACUUCGAAAGCUGACUUUUCUUCACUGACACAACAACCGUAUUGGAACUGUAAUAGCGGUAAGAUGGCACGUCAUAUUAGCAUAUUUCUGGUCCUUUGGAGGGUAUGCAACACCCUUGUUACAGGUUUCCAGAUGACAAGCAAGAAAGAAAUGACGGUUGCCCAAAUUUCACCUGCAAAAACUUUAAAUGGCACUCGCAAAGUAAAGAAAGAUUUUCUACUUGAGAAGGAAAAACACAAAUCGUUGAUCAUAUUACUUUCUGUCAUUGGGCUUAUAACAUUGUUGCUUAUGACUGCGUGCGCACUUGUCAAGUAUCUUAUCAAGAGAAGAAGUAAAGGAAAACCAAGAGAACUAAAGUAUUUAGAGAAAGAAAUAUUUUGUCCAUCCCAGGAUAACGAACUUUUUGAGCUCGAAGAUGUGGAGCCUAAAGCUUUAAUAUGAACUGUUUAUGAUUAUUACAAAACAAAGCCUCCAUCCAUAUUAUCUUAUUCACUUUUUUGUUUAAAAAGUAUUAAGUAUCUGUGCUAAAUUCAUUUUGUUUUCAUAAUACUUUUAAAUGACUGUAAUUUGCUUGCAUGGACUUUAUAAGUAUAUUCUAUAGAAACGAAAUAAUUUUGGCAAGUUGUUUUGUCAAAUGUUAGUCGUUUGAUUGUCAACUGAGAAAUUAAUUUGAUCUAACUUAACUUGAUUCAAAAAUUUUCUAUUUCACAAUUACCUAAAAUAUCUAGAAUCUAAGUGCAAAAAUAUAACUCUUGUUUGCUAUUUUCAAGCAAAGAGGACUGAAUUUUUCAGCAAAUUUACAAUUUUGUUUUGAUACAAACGAAGCAUUGAACGUAGCACAUAUAUUUACAAUCUUUAAAGAAUUUUAUAUUUGAUGCAAAUGUUAUCAAGAUGUCUUGCAAAUGCUUUUGUAAAAGAUUAGAUUAUAAAGUAGGACUCGAAAAUUUCAAAAACCUUUCUCUGUCUCAUCAUUGCUUUAUAGCUCCUCAACUCAAUUGCCAUGAGACAACUGGUCAUCGGCAUCAAGGUUCUCAUCCUGUUCUAUCUCUGUAUUCACGUCAUUGACUUCUUCAUUUUUGAUUUCACCUAAAUCUUUAAAAUAGACGCAUUAUCAUAUGCAAAGGCAUUUAACUAUCUUUUUUCCUUAAAGCUUUUACUAAAGGCAAGAAUAAAGGCAUCACGUAAAACGGCCGAAAAUAAUCUCAAAACAACUAUUUUUUCAUUACUUGUAAUUCUUUUUUACAUACAUUCAUUUUUCAUACAAGUCUCAUUUCUAAUGAGACUUGUAAUCCUUUUUUUCAUAGGAUCGAAAUCAAUUAAGCAACAAUAAAGCUAACUGACUACCUGCCAUCCAUUUUGAGAAAGGAGGUUUGUUCAGGAAGUUUUAACUAUGCAUGAAACUUACAAUGCAUUAUAAACUUUUCUAAUAAUUGACACAAAAAGAUACAAACCAUGCAGCGCAUUUUGCCCAAAACAACGCAAAGUCAACAUUUUCAAAGCCUUAGUGCAUAGGGCACUCAGUAUCUGCACGAGAUCUAAAUUUCUCGUUGAACAGGAAAAACAUAAAACGACAUUUCUGGACAACAGCUAUCAAGAAAAUGUCAUUUUGCCUUAUACUUAGCAGAAGAUCGCAAGCUUUUCACCUGUUAAAAAGUUUGGUCCGCAAAAGAGCCCAGUUUAUCUUAAAGUACCAUGGGCUGAGGCAGCCUUUCCACUAGCCUGGGUUAAAACAUAUCCAGGUUAAAAGUUAUCCGUUUUUAAAGUGAGUCAAUGGAAACGGCAUUUUGAACCCGUUUUUGAUCGUUCACACUAAGCCGGGUUAAAAUAUAUCCGGGGUGAAAAUUUGUAAGAGAAAUCAGUAUUUGCAUCAAUAAUCCUUCAAUUUCUAUCGUUGUUGGCCAAUGGAAGCAACAUUGACAUCCAGGAUUUUGUUUUUUGAUUUUUGGCGCCAUCUCAUUUUUUAAACGUUGCUGUUGUUGCAAGUGGGUCAGAAGUUCUCCGGGUUCGGCGUUUUCAUUAACUCGCAGGUGAGUCAAAAGAUACCCGGGUAAAAACUGACCUACUUUGAGACCCGUUUUCAAACUUAUCCGUUUUUCAAGUGGGUUAGUGGGAACGCGACGCAGAAACGAAUAACUUUUAACCCGGAUAUGUUUUAACCCAGGUUAGUGGAAAGGCUGCCUGAGUACUCUUCCUUGCGAUUCGAGAGACAAACAAUCACAAAUUUUUUAGCUGUUAAACCCCGUAUUGUUUACAGCACUAGGAGAGCCCUUCCAUCCAUUCAGAAGGAUUGCAUUCCUACCACCCAGAAGAGUUCCAUUGUUUAUGAAUUUUCGUGCCACUGUGAUUCCGGCUAUGUAGUACGCACUACCCAAAGAUUGUGGGAUAGGAUAAAAGAACAUGUUCCUUCAAAAAUAAAAAUACAAAACUGCCCCUAUAAAGGGAACAGCUUCCUAGAUCUGUAGGUCUAGAAACACCGUUAAAACAAGUGAUUCUGCCAUCGGUCAACAUCUUUUAGAUAACCCAGAUUUUGUAAUCGUCUUUUCAUCUAGAAGUUUAGAAUCGAUAUACAUACAAACGAAAAAGCCGCUAUUGUGUAGAAAGAAGGAGCUCGUUUUCUUUCUUGGACCCCAGUGGCAAAAUGUGACCCCCCCUCUCAAUCUUAAAAAUAGCCGAUUUCGCAGGGCAAUCGAAGAUUUCGCAGGGCGCCAAGAAAAUCUUUAUUGGCACGCAGAAACGCCACCUCUUAAGUUCGAAAAGGGCCGUUCACGAAUUUUGAAAUGGAAAUAUUAUAUUUGUUAUGAACCUCCCUUCCUGACAUUGCAUUUUAGAGAACGGAACAGUUAUGUCAGGAAGAGCUCCGUUAUUAGCAGAGCGAAAGCAUUCCUUACCGAAAGUCAUAGCCAAUGGAUGCAUUGAUUGAUGCAUAAGUUUAUGAGGGCAAGAUUGAGUCCACACAAAUUAAUUUAAGUUUUAAAUUAUUUUCAUGACAGGUAUGGCGCUUUGGUCAAGAGAAGAAUGUUUUAUCAUUUCUUCUAUAGCUUUUUAACAGUGUAUGAAAUAAAAGGAGAAUAAACGUUUAAGAUGCCGAUUUUGUUUGAUCUAAUUGCUAACUUAUUCACGUAUAUUUCUAUUACUUUUAUUUGCAUUAAUUCUGUAAAUCACUUUUUGUAUCAUUGCAAUAUUGUCAUUUUGGAAGUGUAAACAUGGCCUUCUCGGGACAGGAAACUGCACAUUUCUGUUCAGGAAAUAAAAUUCUCCCAAUCAAAACAACAUUGCUCUGUCAUUCACAACUAUGUGCAAUCUGAAACGAAAGGUUACCGUUUCUUUCCUUCCACAACGUCUAUCACCAGAGUUUUAGCAUACCAUCCCCCUCCCUAUUUUUUCAACAAACAAUAAUCAGUUUUUUAGCAGUAUAGUAUUUUACUAAAUUUUAAUCUGAAAGAUGCUUUUUACCCCUAUUACCAGGUAUAAUGUCAAAAAUUUUCUUCACGUCGGACCCAACCAUGGUGGUUCCUCCUAUAUCACUAAACUUGAUACGCCAUUAAAUACAAGCUUUAUCACAAAGGAAAAUCAAAUUCGACAUUUAAUUUAAGCUCGCGUAAAAAAAUGGAUAUUUCAUAGGCAAUGAAGUUUCAAGUUUGUUUUUAUUGCUUAGAAGUUUGUCCUUGGUAAAGACUAAUUUACACUGGUAAAGCUUUCACUAGUAACCUAUAGACAAACCUUUGCUACGAGGUCUGCAGGGCAACACUCAUUUUCGCAGGGCAGAAAUCUUUUUCACCCCCCUCCCCCCAAACAAAACCUAUUGGCCAAGUUACGCCCCUGAAAGCUUGCAAUUCAGAAUUUGCAAACGGUACUGACAAAUAUUUGAAAGCUUUAGAAGAUACGAGCUUCUGCAUAAUCAGUAAAUGAAAGGAGAAGUUGAUUUUUUCAGUCGUAUAAAAAAGAACAAUUUGCAAACGGUACUGACAAAUAUUUGAAAGCUUUAGAAGAUAUUAAUUCAUUCAAGUUGCUAUUUAUCAAUGAAUUCAUCAUUAAAAAGCAGAUCAUCACAAUUUAUAAAUAAAUAGAGCAGCAUAAACAAACAAGACAUGUUCAAAAAAUUCAUUUUUUCUCAAUCAACAUCAAAAUACACAGACCAGAUGACUUGAAUCACAGAUGGAGUAGCGAAUAACCAUGAUCUUUUGAGUGUUUUUUACAAAAACAGUUUUUUGAGCUAAAACUAAAGGAAGAAAGUGCCUCUCUUCAUUUUCAUUAUGAAAAUAUGUUUAUAACUACAAACCCCUGCUUAUUCAAGGUGAACUGACUACUGACUCGUGGUAAGGGCUAAAUUCAUGAAAAUAUGUACACAGCCAAGGAAACUUCAAAUAACAAAAUUAUAUGGAAAGCAAGGACUCAAAACAAAUCAGAAGACCCUUGGCAAAGCCUUAGAAAAAUAUCACCAGCAAUAUAUAAAAAAAAGCUACAACGUGACACUCAAUCAAAUUUAUUUUUUUCCCUUCCAUUUGUUUCAGGAGAGUAAACCUCUAACAGAGCUGGUUUUCAAGGGGUCCUUCACUAUUGCAACUUUUAAAAUCAAGUAGGUGCUAUGACAAUUCUAGUAAAAAAACUAAAAAUUCCUUAUGCAAUCAUUACGAAUUAAUAUUUAUGUACUUUUUGAGAGAAUUACUCAAAGUAUUUUAUAUUGAGCAGAGCAACAUUUCUCGAUUUCUCAAUUAAAGGAAGGCCAUUUUUGUGCAAAUCAUUGACAAAAUUAAUUGUUUUCAGCGUGCGUCUCAGCGUAAAAACUGCAUUAUUUCCACACUGAUCACCUGCAAUUAAAAGCAUCCAAAUGAUAUUCAAAUGAUUGCACAUUUUACCUCAUCAGAAGACAUCUCGCUCAUUUGAAUGUCAUACUUGUGUUAAGUAGUGGAAAACUUGCCUGGACUUGAACUACAAAAAGAUCCUUUUGAUUCCGUACCUAAAAUAGCUGUAAACGUAACUCUAUGCUUCCUCCACAGCAGAAGGGUAAUUUUCUUAUAAAAUACAAUUGCUUUAUACGAAAGUAAAGAAGAGGGGACAUUUUGAAGUAAAGAUUUGAAGAUGAUUUAUGGCCAUUUAAAGGGUUUACAGAUAUCAGAAGUAGCAGAAGGACAUAUGAAAUCCACAUUUUGCUUGGAGACCCAACAUUCAAUGAUUUGAGACCUGGAAGCUGUAGAAAAAGGCCACCUGUCUAUAGCAGAUAAAAAUUGUUUGGAUGGGGAACACAUAAAGAAGGGAUGGAACAAGUCAAACCUUAUCUCGUCAGACAACAAAUGAAAAAUGUAAGAAAUUAUACAGUUUAGAUUUGCUAGGCAUAGACGACAGAAAGGAGCAGGACCGUCGAGAGGAGGGGGGGGACCAGGGCAGUUACCAGGGGGCCCAGGGCCUUGAGGGGCUCAGGGCCUUGAGGGGCCCGUAGAAAGUAAGGUUUGUAUUUUUGGCUAUGAGUUUUCAAUUAGCAGCAUUGGCAGAGCGGGCCCAUGACCCGAUUGAUAUUCGAAAUUUAAUCUUUCAACAUGGAAUCAACAAGCUGGUCUAUGAUGAGGGCCUUUUCUUGUUAAGGUUUAUAAUUAAAACAUUGACGAUACGAUCAUAAUAUACUUCUCCGGAAGCCGAAAAAUUCGAUUGCACUGACAUAUAUCUACUUUUAGGUCAAAUGUUUUAAUUAUUCCUUGUGUGGACUUCCUUUAAACGUAAAAGUAAAUCUUCCAUUCACGUCGUACACCAGAGAAAAGGCACAUGCGAAGAACCAAGACAAAUCCAAACGCUAUAAAAGUCUUUAUCAAAAUCACUAAGCGGGAUCACGAUCCAACCAACCCCUGCGAUGUCAUCUUGCAGGCACAAGUCUGGUGCUCAGAAAAGGCAGGAAAAAAAGAUACGAGAAAAAGAAGCAAAGAAGGCCUCUCGCACAUUGUUUGAGGUAGGUGCUUUACAAAAGAGACAAGGAAGGUGAUUCAACUUUAAAUAUACCUGGCGAAAGCUCUGUUCAAAGCAUUACUGAAGAAGAAGAAGACACAAACGGCUUGGCUGCUUCGGUAGACCAUGACACCACAGAAAGUAGAGAAAGCACUACCGAUUUGUCAUUAAAUCAAGAUACUGUUCAUAGUGGAUCAUCUAGUUUUGAUGUCGGCAUAUUGACCGGAUUUCCAACGAUAAAGGAGUUUGAAAAGGUUGUUAGAACUGGUCAUUUGCCUCAUCCUCAAGAGUUUCCCAAAGAUUGCGACGGCCACAAAUUUCCAACAACGGUCCUAAAUGUGAAGCAGCAAAAUGGGGAGGUAGUAAGAAGCUGGCUUGUUUUCAGUCCUACAAAGGCUGCACUCCAUUGUUUGCCAUGCAGGUUAUGUUAGAAUAUACAAAAAAUAGAGCUAUUGUUUAGUUACGAACAAUGACGUUUACUUCCGCUUUUAUUGCACGCUGUCAUGCUGUGAGCUGUAAGAUGAUACUUCGUCUAAUUUUUUCGUUCGAGUUGUAAUCGCCGUUAUGUUAUGGAUGAAUUUAUCUUCAAUCGCUUGUUUCUGUGCGUAAAACUCCUGAUUUUAACAGGUUAUUCGGGCACACUAUUAAUAAUGGUUCAAAAUCAAAAUUGGCUUCUCCUGAAUGUUGGGGAGAGAACGACAGCUGGAAAAGAUUGUGGGAAAAGAUUAAGGAUUUCGCCUUGAGGAGAGCAAGAAAAGCAGUUUUUUAAACAUUAAAUUAACUGUGAUUUUUAAACUGAUUUGUUUUAAUGAUUUGUUUUAUAUAGUCACUAAUUACAUGUUCUGUUAAAGACCUUAAAAUACAAAAUGAAGUGUUUCAGGGGCGUUGAUUUCAAAAUUCAUGCCUUUUACAGUCCAUCUAACUGCAUUGCUAAGGGCGUAAUCCAAUAAUGGUUUUUGCAGCCUUCGACGGUGGGGCCCCAUGACAGUCCCAGUCCUGGGGCCCGGCCCGUCUCUCGACGGCCCUGGAAAGGAGUAUCAAAAGAAAGAAUAACAAAGGAGUUUAUUGAAAAUUUGAAACACACCGAAGAUAGAAGAUUUUCAGUCAAGGAACCUUGAAUAGAUGGAAGGAUACCACAAACCUCAAAUGAAAAGAAGGAGAAAAUUACGAAAUAUAUUGUCAAAGAUAAAGGAAGGAAAUAGAGAAAGGCAUCAGGAAAUAUUCAAAGAAAAGUUGUUUACAUACCACAUAAGCCAGAAAUCAUAGAGGAAGCCAUAAGUACCAAAUUAAGAAUGGUCUUUGAUACCAGUGCAAAGUCAUAAGUUGAUGUCUAUUCUAUCAAUGAAUUUAUGAAUCCUGGCCUCCAUCCCUAAAUAAAAGAUGGAAUGGGAUUUUCUGAUACGAUCAAAAAUGACAGCAAUUUUUAUUGUGGCCGGAUUUGUGGGAGAUGCAGAAAAGGCAUUCCUGAAAAUAGAGUUAAAUAAAUCUGACAGACAGGGUUCUAGAUUUCUGUUCAAGAUAAAAUAAGGAACUGAGAAGCAUUUCAUAUUUUUAAGAGCUCGAUUCGGCGGAGAGGGCUUUUCUUCAAUUUUGGGGGUAUAAGUCAAUAUCAUCUAAAAACAGUAAAAAAAGAUGAUGAUAUCAAAGAAACACGCAAAAGGACUAGGUAUGUAGACAAUGUAAUGAGUUGAACCGAUGCCAAAUGCAAGGCCGUUUAAAUGUAUUUGAAAGUGGAGAAGGUCUUGAAAGGGCAUAGGAAAGACCGCCACCAUGGAUGACGCGAAGAAAAAUUCUAGAAUUUUGGUGUCUUAUACAUGUUUAUCAUAUGGUGAUAAACAGAAACUGUGUCUAAAAUGUAUUUUGACUGAUGGAAUAUCCAAGGCAAUUUACCUGAUCAUUGCUUUAUCAACAUGCCACAUUAUGUCAUCUAUUGUAAUGUCUUGCUAAGUUUUGGAAUGACCUUUGUAAUAUAGCUCGUGAUACUUUUUUUUAGAUCUUAAAAGGACCUAAUAUAAAAUUAAAGAGAAAGAUAAAUGAAACAAGGUUUGAUAAAAAAUAUUAAUAUUGAUAUUUCAAUAGAAGAAAUAUCAACUAAAAAUAAAAAAUUCAAGCUAUUUUGUACAGUUAGGAUAUUAUUUUGUAACAUAUGAUCUCAAAUUUUUGGAAAUAAUGUGCUUUUUACAAAAAGACCCUAGAUUUGAAAAACUUUCAAAAUGGACUGAUCAAAACGAGUCUUAAUAGAAUUUAUUAUUGAGCCUAGAUUUUCUCUUUCUUAAUGGUGAUGGAAUAUCGUUACAAUCAAACUUCGCAGUCUUCUUAAUGAUACUUUUGAAGAACAAAUCCGCCGAUUCUUGCUUUCUCAUAUCCUCAAAAGUGUUUUUUCCAGAUGUCUCUUUUCCUUCAACAGCUGAUUUCUCUCCUUUUGUAAUGUUUCUCAAAAAGUUUUUGUAAACAAUUAGACCUCCUGUGCCAAUCUCAGCCCAUUGAAAAAAUGAAACUCUGUCAAUUUGUACUAGCACCAAAUUAUUCUGGAUCAGGUUUCUGGAUCUAUUUCCUGAGCCAAGCUGAAACUCGCUGUAAACAUGCAAAAUGACAGAUUUCCUUGAUUAAAUCUCCAUAUUCAACUUUAUAUGUGUCUUCUAUGGUUAAGACAUAGCAACCAAGCUAAAGCUAAAGACAUAUUUAAGGGGUUACUAAGCAGUGUUACUUUCAGAAUGAUAAAGUACAUUUCUUUUCUCUUUGCCUCAAAAAUUGUUUAGCUGUUAAGAAAAUUGAUGGACCAUGGCUCUCCAGUUUCGCUGGCUCUAAAAAAUGAUAAGGAAAUAUUUGAAAAAAAGGCCACCGAAACAAAUGAGCAAAGAAAAAUACACAUUAGAGAAAAUGAGCAAAUUUUUGGCAUUGGAUGGUACAAGAAUGAAGAUAUAUGCUUUACAGAUUGAACAGAAACGACGUUUGUCUGUCACAAAGAGAAAACUGCUGAAAACAUUGUCUUCAAUUUAAAGGCUUUGUCUUCAAUCUAGGGAUUUUGUUUGAAACAAUGUUUAGGGAAAGCAUUUGUUCAGAUUAGCAGUAGACGAGAAAUAUUAUUAAGGUUAGUCAAGAGUUCUGAGAGAAAAGAACAACAUUGUUAAAUGAUCUGCAGAAUUCUGAGGUGCCAGAAGCAAUUGUACCAUACCUGAAAGACGUUACAAUGAUUGUGCUACAUCACUUGACGGAUACAAAUAAAGUAUCUGCUUAAACAGUUGCAAAUGUAGGCUAGUGCAAACAAGCGGGAGAUAUCAAAGGUUUAUUAUUUUCAGAGAAAAGAAUUUCAAAUAGGGUGUUUAUCUUUGCUAGACAAGAGUUGCUAGCAUGUCAUAUGGGGAUCAAAAUUACAGAGAGAACAAACCGAGCAUCGAAAAGAUGGCCAAACCGAGAGAACUAUUGUUGGACAGAGAGCCAAACGAACAAAAUCGAUAUAAUCAGAACAACAAGAGAGCAAAAUGAAUGAAAGAAAAAACAGGAGAAUUAAAUUUAUGCUUUCAAAGAAAUUUGAACCAUGCCUUUUACGGUACUAGGGGCACCACUGUUAAACAAAUACAGAAAACAAGAUUGGUGGAAAGGACCUGAUUAGCUUGUAGAUAAAUGGAAUGGGCCCGAGGAAAGGAUUACGUUAAAAGAUUGCAAUCUAGAGAUGAUGAAAAUUAAGCAAAACAGAGAAUGUUCUGGUAACAAUGGAGUAAAAUGGAAUUUUUAAUGCUGCCUUCAAAAAAGGGUCUCUCAAGAAAGCUUAAAAGGUAAUAUUCAGGUGCAAAAUCUCAGAAAAUCCAACAUCAGAUAUUUUCAGGGCCUUUGAAAACGUUGAAUGUGUUAAACUAUAUUCAUUUGCAAGAUGGAAGCGAUUUAGAUUGAUAUCAGAACGCAUGAAAUAAACGCCAUUUUAAAACAACGAGAAUCAUAAGUCAACAUAAUUAGCAUAACAAUGCAACACAAGGAAACAAUGAGAUCACAAUCUAACAGAAAGUAGUCAAAGCAGCCAAGUGCUUGACAAGGUGAUCUUAAGAAUAUGUUGAUUUCCAUUCAAAAGAAUCACAGCAACUAGCGUUAAUGAAAUUUAUAGACCGAAUUAUAAGAUGUGUAGGUAGAAUUCCAGAUGAACAGCAGAGCCAGUUAAUAUACCUCAGAGAUAGGAGUAUGCAAACAAAGGUAUGUGAAGAAGCAAAUAAAGAUAUAAGCCAUGAAGGAGCAACCAUUGCUAUGGCGAGAGUCAAAGAAAAGCUUUAGGUUUCAAGAUUGAGAACAAGUCUAAAGAAAGUAAGAGGGAAUAGUGAAAAUGUAAAAUUACACACGCUAAUCAAAAUCCUGCUCCGGACCUAGCUAUUUUACUAGAGAAAAGAAUAGCAGAUAUUUUUUCAUUUACAGUUACAAGAAUUGAUUUCGGUGGAAAAUUCAAAGUUAAAGAAGGAAUCUGGCUUGCCUAAGCUUAUGUUACAGUUUUCUUUUGUGCUCCAUCAAGAGCCGUUUAUUUCAAGGUAUCCAAAUAAGCGGAAGCAAAAGGGUCAAAAUAAAUGAAAUUUUGCAGUUCAAUCUAGGCUACAAGAGAUUUUAAGUGACAAUGUAGAUACUUUUAAAGUUGUAGCAAAUUUCAUGAAAAUCCUUCGAAAGAAUGAAGAGUUACACGAGUACCUGGCAGACUUUAUCUCAGCAAAAAUCCCCUGAAGAGAUACAUUUUAUGAGAUUCCCCCAGAAACUUGGGAGAAGUCAGAAUUAGCGAUACACUUCAAUAACAGACCGAUGUAGUAUGUUGUGGCAAAAUCGUUUUCAAAAUCCUAGCACUGACUGUUAUCAAUCGAGAAAGAAAGGAAAAAAGAGAUGGAAAAAACAUGUGUGUGGAAGAGAUAGCGUACAGAGUGCAUAAUAGCACUAGAGAGUGACAUUAUAUUACGGUCCAUCUAAAUUAGGUGAAGUUGUUCUGGUUCCCCAGAGCAGGACGGACUCUUGAAAACGAAAAUGAUUAGCCAUAAACUCAUUUUUCUUGCACUACACAAUUCCAAAAGUCAAACAGCAAAAAACUAGUAAGGCCCUAUUACACUAUCACAUUCAGGUACAAUUUGCUUCACAUUUUUUCUGUGGUUGCGGAAAACGAGAGAAUGUAAUAGUGUACGCUUCA